UACCCCAAACCGACACAGGUGGUCAGGUAGAGAAUACUCAGGCGCUUGAGAGAACUCGGGUGAAGGAACUAGGCAAAAUGGUGCCGUAACUUCGGGAGAAGGCACGCUGGCGCUAGGUGAAGUCCCUCGCGGAUGGAGCUGAAGCCAGUCGCAGAUACCAGCUGGCUGCAACUGUUUAUUAAAAACACAGCACUGUGCAAACACGAAAGUGGACGUAUACGGUGUGACGCCUGCCCGGUGCUGGAAGGUUAAUUG
rnacentral:rRNA from 1 species